rnacentral:rRNA from 1 species
UACGGAGGUUGCAAGCGUUGCUCGGAAUCACUGGGCGUAAAGGGCGCGUAGGCGGGGUGGUAAGUCGGGUGUGAAAUCCCUCGGCCCAACCGAGGAACUGCGCCCGAGACUGCUUCUCUUGAGUCCCGGAGAGGAAGAUGGAAUUCCCGGUGUAGCGGUGAAAUGUGUAGAGAUCGGGAGGAACACCGGUGGCGAAAGCGGUCGUCUGGACGGUGACUGACGCUGAGGCGCGAAAGCGUGGGGAGCAAACGGG